rnacentral:rRNA from 1 species
UACGGGGGGGGCAAGCGUUGUCCGGAAUUAUUGGGCGCAAAGAGCUCGUAGGCGGUCUGUCGCGUCGGAUGUGAAAGCCCGGGGCUUAACCCCGGGUCUGCAUUCGAUACGGGCAGACUAGAGUGUGGUAGGGGAGAUCGGAAUUCCUGGUGUAGCGGUGAAAUGCGCAGAUAUCAGGAGGAACACCGGUGGCGAAGGCGGAUCUCUGGGCCAUUACUGACGCUGAGGAGCGAAAGCGUGGGGAGCGAACAGG